rnacentral:misc_RNA from 1 species
AAAGUCGUAACAAGGUUUCCGUAGGUGAACCUGCGGAAGGAUCAUUAACACGUAUCCACGUAUCAAACCCCUCUGUGAAAACCUAUUACUCUGUAAGGCUUGGUCUUAGUAUGUUGUUCGCAUAAAGUCCUAAUGAUGGAGGCUUCGGCCUAGGGCUUGAACAUCAUGUGUUUGACGAUCAGCCGCCACUUUUCCAUCGUUGGCCCUUUUAUCUCAUUUAACCCCUUUGUACUCUUUUUGUACUGAACCAAUUCUUCGAUGCUCUUACGAGCGACGAAAGAUAUUACGAAACUAAAGAACAACUCUUAGCAACGGAUAUCUUGGUUCCC